UCUUUGAUAAGAGUAUAUUUUGAACCAGAUGAAAAACAGUGUGUCGACCACACUGGCUGGAAUAUAACCCAAGGGAUAGAGUUCCAAUUAGCAGAGAUGCAAACAGGUGAAAUCCUUAGCAAUUCAAGUAAUUGUCUUGCUCGUAGGCUCGCAGAGCCAAGGGGGUUAUGGGUGCAGCUAUAUCAGUGCCAAAAACAAUAUCAAACUGUUCGGGACAAAUCGGGAGACCCAACUUGGGGCAUACCCACGCAAAUCACUGUCAGAGAUGAUAGAGAGAUUACUGUGUGAAUAUCGCUAAAGUCCUUGCGUAGUUGAAGCUUGGUAACAAGCUAUAAGAACAGACGAUAGUCCAAGUAGCCAAAAUAAAGUCUACGCUUUAUUAACAAGUGCAAUUAUUUUGUUUAAGGUGAAACAAACAAAUUACAGUUCCUAAAAAAGGGAAAAUGUCUAUUGCUGGUGAAAGGUGCGACGAGAGAUGUCGUUAGGGUUUAGGCUUUAGCUGGGUAAGAGUGGAGGUGCAGGCAUGUGCCAAGGGCUCUUAUUCCCCUAUGUGUGAAUAUUGGUUGGGAUAUAGUGUGUAUGAGGAGGACUCACAAAAUAUACUUUUAUCAAA
rnacentral:sRNA from 12 species